GACGGAGGGUGCUAGCGUUGUUCGGAAUUACUGGGCGUAAAGGGCGCGUAGGCGGCCUGGUCAGUCGGGUGUGAAAGCCCGGGGCUCAACCCCGGAACGGCACCCGAGACGGCGAGGCUGGAGACCGGGAGAGGAGGGUGGAAUAGCCAGUGUAGAGGUGAAAUUCGUAGAUAUUGGCUGGAACACCGGUGGCGAAAGCGGCUCUCUGGCCCGGUUCUGACGCUGAGGCGCGAAAGCGUGGGGAGCAAACAGG
rnacentral:rRNA from 1 species